ACAUGCUCCACUUUGAGCUGAUCUCCUGUUUUUACUUUGUUAUAUAUCUGAAAGGGGGAUACAAAUACAAGUUUACAGCUGCAACUGUAAAGUGUCUGUCCUUAUCAAAGGACCACACUUGACAGCAGUGUCAAAUUGCAUCCCUUCUUUUCUGAUUUUAUCCCUAUUGAACAACAAGGAAUUUCUCUUUGAGAACAGGAAUCUCCAUGGACUUGUAAGUAGAUGUCAGUGAGCAAAGAUACCUCGUGGACAAGAAAACCACUGAAAACCACAAAGUAAAGAGGAACACAAAACGAUGUUUUCAGGAUUCAGCAUAAGCCAAAUAGGACAGGACAGACUCACAUCAUCAAAUCAAGUAAUGCUGUAUAAAUCAUUUGAAGAUUUCAUGUACUAACCUGUUGAAAAGCUUGAACGGUUGCAGAAUAAGACCGUAAAGCCAAGGAAAACUUCAACAAGUUCUGCUGCAAAGGUGACAGACUGCGGCAGG